UAUUUAACCAAUCAUUGUUAACAGGAGUAGUCCCAGAAGAUUGGAAGUUAGCGAAUGUUGUGCCCAUUUACAAGAAAGGUAAUAGGGAGGAGUCGGGCAACUAUAGGCCAGUAAGCCUUAUUUCAGUAGUGGGGAAAGUGAUGGAAACCAUGUUAAAGGAUAGGAUUGAUGAACAUCUAAAAACACAUGGAUUUCAAGAUCAGAGACAAC